GUGGGGAAUAUUGGGCAAUGGGCGAAAGCCUGACCCAGCAAUGCCGCGUGAGUGAUGAAGGCCUUCGGGUUGUAAAGCUCUGUCGGGAGGGAAGAAAAAACGGCGUAACGAACCGGCUUGACGGUACCUCCAAAGGAAGCACCGGCUAACUCUGUGCCAGCAGCCGCGGUAAUACAGAGGGUGCUAGCGUUGUUCGGAAUUACUGGGCGUAAAGCGCGUGUAGGCGGCGUCGUAAGUCACCUGUGAAAUCCCUUGGCUUAACCAAGGAAGUGCAUGUGAUACUGCGGUGCUUGAGUCUCGGAGGGGAUGGCGGAAUUCCUGGUGUAGAGGUGAAAUUCGUAGAUAUCAGGAGGAACACCUGUGGCGAAGGCGGCCAUCUGGACGAGCACUGACGCUGAGACGCGAAAGCGUGGGUAGCAAACAGGAUUAGAUACCCUUGUAGUCC
rnacentral:rRNA from 1 species